UCUUAGAACUGAAGUGCUGCAAUGACAAUUGGUGUGAUAUUAAUUAUUCUUUCUUUCUUGCCAGUCGGCGUCCGAAUCCUCGGAGCCAGCUUGUGAGCUAUCCAGACCUCCAUCCAUGAGCUUCGACUAAAAAACAAAGAAGGGGGAAAUGGUGGGGACCGUCAUGAUGCUGGCAAAGUCUAAG